UCCGGGGUCUCACCAUGGCCUGGACCCCUCUCCUGCUCCCCCUCCUCACUCUCUGCACAGGUUCAGUGGCCUCCCUCAAGCUGACUCAAGUGCCUGCAGUGUCUGUGGCCUUGGGACAGACGGCCAGGAUCAGCUGCCAGGGAGACGAUCACAUAAGUAACUUUGUACCAACAAACUGGUACCAGCAGAAGCCGGGCCAGGCCCCUGUGCUGGUCAUCUAUGGUAACAGCAACCGGCCCUCAGGGAUCCCUGAGCGAUUCUCUGGUUCCAAAUCAGGGACCACAGCCACCCUGACCAUCAGCGGGGCACAGGCUGGGGACGAGGCUGACUAUUACUGUCAGUCAUUGGACAUGAGUGGUAAUAAUCACACAGUGACACAGCCUCAUGAGGACUUUAGUCACAGCGGGAAGCCCAUCGCAGUGGGCUCUGUGGUAGCCACCCAGAUCCGCUUUCAGGCUUAUCCACCCACCCACCCGCACCAUGGGCUGGAGCCCUGGUGGAUCACAGCUGCUCUCCCCCUGGAAAGUGCCAUGAGUGCAGGGGACGGCCUCUCCCUUCGUAGUGUGAUUCGGGAGCAGUGA